CAGGGCUUGCUCUGUGGGUGGCGAGUGGCGGACGGGUGAGUAAUGCAUCGGGACCUACCCAGACGUGGGGGAUAACGUAGGGAAACUUACGCUAAUACCGCAUACGUCCUACGGGGGAAAGCGGGGGAUCUUCGGACCUCGCGCGGUUGGAUGGACCGAUGUGCGAUUAGCUUGUUGGUGAGGUAAUGGCUCACCAAGGCGACGAUCGCUAGCUGGUCUGAGAGGAUGAUCAGCCACACUGGGACUGAGACACGGCCCAGACUCC
rnacentral:rRNA from 1 species